GGUGAAAUUGCCGUUGCAAUUCGCAAGCAUGUUGUGCGCAUUCAGGAUUUCAGUUUGCAGAAAUCAAAUCAGAAUCCAAGGAAAGGACGAAAACGGAAACUGAGAGAUACAAGUGAUGGUGUUGUACAAGGGGAUGUAUCUUGAUCCCGAAGGACUAACAUGAAACAAGUAUCAUGCGGAAAAGUUAAAACACCUGACGACGUGUGAUAGAUUAGGGAUCCCAAAUUGGCGAAGCAUAUGUUUCAUUAAGGGCCGGAGAAUGAGAUGGGGCCCACAAGGAACUGAUAACCGGCUGGAACAAUAAUGCUUGAUGCCUCGACUUUACAAGCAGCGGCCCAUGCAGCUUGGAAUGCCUGCGUCACACCAGAACAAAACCCCC